GAUGAACGCUGGCGGCGUGCCUAAUACAUGCCAGUCGAGCGAACGGACGAGAAGCUUGCUUCUCUGAUGUUAGCGGCGGACGGGUGAGUAACACGUGGAUAACCUACCUAUAAGACUGGGAUAACUUCGGGAAACCGGAGCUAAUACCGGAUGAUAUUUUGAACCGCAUGGUUCAAAAGUGAAAGACGGUCUUGCUGUCACUUAUAGAUGUAUCCGCGCUGCAUUAGCUAGUUGGUAAGGUAACGGCUUACCAAGGCAACGAUGCAUAGCCGACCUGAGAGGGUGAUCGGCCACACUGGAACUGAGACACGGUCCAGACUCCUACGGGAGGCAGCAGUAGGGAAUCUUCCGCAAUGGGCGAAAGCCUGACGGAGCAACGCCGCGUGAGUGAUGAAGGUCUUCGGAUCGUAAAACUCUGUUAUUAGGGAAGAACAUAUGUGUAAGUAACUGUGCACAUCUUGACGGUACCUAAUCAGAAAGCCACGGCUAACUACGUG
rnacentral:rRNA from 1 species